rnacentral:rRNA from 1 species
AGAGUUUGAUCAUGGCUCAGGAUGAACGCUGGCGGUAUGCUUAACACAUGCAAGUCGAACGGGGGUAGAAAUACCCUAGUGGCGGACGGGUGAGUAACGCGUGAGAAUCUACCAACAGGAUGGGGAUAACAGAGGGAAACCGCUGCUAAUACCCAAUGUGCCGAGAGGUGAAAGAUUAAUUACCUGUUGAGGAGCUCGCGUCCGAUUAGCUAGUUGGUGGGGUAAGAGCCUACCAAGGCAUCGAUCGGUAGCUGGUCUGAGAGGACGAUCAGCCACACUGGGACUGAGACACGGCCCAGACUCCUACGGGAGGCAGCAGUGGGGAAUUUUCCGCAAUGGGCGAAAGCCUGACGGAGCAAUACCGCGUGAGGGAGGAAGGCUCUUGGGUUGUAAACCUCUUUUCUCAGGGAAGAACAAAAUGACGGUACCUGAGGAAUAAGCAUCGGCUAACUCCGUGCCAGCAGCCGCGGUAAUACGGAGGAUGCAAGCGUUAUCCGGAAUCAUUGGGCGUAAAGCGUCCGCAGGUGGCUAAUCAAGUCUGCCGUCAAAGACCGUAGCUCAACUACGGAAAGGCGGUGGAAACUGAUAAGCUAGAGUGCAGUAGGGGUAGAGGGAAUUCCCAGUGUAGCGGUGAAAUGCGUAGAGAUUGGGAAGAACACCGGUGGCGAAAGCGCUCUGCUGGACUGCAACUGACACUCAUGGACGAAAGCUAGGGGAGCGAAUGGGAUUAGAUACCCCCGUAGUCC